AAUCAUUCAUCGGAGUUCAACUCCACCGACGUUGACGACAUGAAAAAUUUCCUGUCUUCAAUGGCUAUGAUAACGCCAAGUCACAGAGAAAAAGUGGAAAUGGAAAUACACGGCGAACAAGUCUACGUCAACCCAAUGACCGUCGACGAUCUCGAAUCAGAAUACACGUUUGUGAAUUGGACGGUGUUGCUAUCCGAGGCGCUGUCCGCAAACGUCAGCAGUUCGGACAUUGUAUACGUACCGUUUCCCGGCUACCUGGAUGACCUGGAUAUGAAGAUUGAGCUUCUUCCGGCGCACACCAUACACAACGGCCUACUUUUGAUGUACAGGUGCGUGUGUCAGCCCAAUGACCCCAUCUUAUAGGGAGUGCGUCACCUUUUAGAACGAAAUUUUACUUAACUCGUCUCAAGUUAGCAUGAAUAGAUACAUAAG